rnacentral:lncRNA from 1 species
UGCUGAUCAUAAGUGACGUAUUGCCAUUUCCUGUUUCUUUGGUUGGAUUUGAUACAUCUGCAUAUGUUGUUUCUUUAGCUAAAUUUGAUACAUCUGCAUAAGUUGAAAUUUACUUGGUGUUUCUAAAUCAUUUUUAAAGGUCAAUUUGUAGACUUUUCAUUUACUCCUUUCAAUAUUCUAAAAAUGCAUAGCAUAAAGAUUUUAAUAACAAAUCAGGAACUACCUAUUUAUGUAGAUGGCGUCAAGCAAGAUUAGAUAUGUAAGAAAAGUUAUGCUGUCCAGAUUCCAUUGCCCAAAAUUUCACUAAUCUAGAUUUCAUUUUUUGCAGUCUCUUUGUUUUUGUUAGGAUUCUUUCUGUUACUAGUACUACAUAACCUUUUCAUAUAUAUUUUCUAGAAUCUAAUGCUGCUCAAUAUUUUUGAAUAAGAAGAAAAAUCGGAUACAGUGGACUUCCUGAGCGUGAGGCUAAAAACAUUAAAUAGGUGAAACUGUGAAAGCUAGAGAGAGUCACAAAAUGAAAUUAAAGAUGCACCGUGCACUUACUUGUUUUGCAAUUUUAAUUAUGUCAAUAUUUAUAAAACACAUUUUAAUCUUACUCGACAAUUUAAUACGUGGCAAAAAUAAUCUACAUAAGCUCCAACUCAUCAUUACGGCAAUCGGAAAAGAAUAGGGAUACGAAAUUGCAAAAAUUGAAAAAAUUAUGAUUUAAUUUGCCACACUUCAAAAGUCGCGUUAAAAUUGCAAAUUUAAAAUUAUUUGUGAUUUUUUUUGCAAAAACCCCCCAAGAAAAAAGGGCGGGUCAAAUCGGGUGUAGAAGUGUUGUGGGCCGGGUUGAUCCGUCCGCCCAGGAAAGCACCUCAAUUAUGAAAUGUAAAGUUAGAGAACAGUAGGGUUUGAAAAUAUCAUUGACGAAGACGAUGAUGAUGCGGUACAAGUUGGGUAGCACACAGUACCACCAUUCAUCAACCAAAACAAUUCACAAGUCUGGUAGAAAAUAAGAAAGCAUACUUAAUAUUUUGGGAAUAGCUUAACAGAGGUGAUCUCCAGGGUGAGCACGAAGAUUACCAAAAUACCCUUUGGGGUUACUCUCAAACACGCUCCUCGGCAUCCUGCAGUUGCGGCCUGGGGCUUUCAUCAUCCUCACCCCCCUUCCGCCGCCGCAGCAGCAGCGGCAGCAACNNNNNNN